rnacentral:rRNA from 1 species
AUUGAACGCUGGCGGCAGGCCUAACACAUGCAAGUCGAACGAGUGGCGGACGGGUGAGUAAUGUCUGGGAAACUGCCUGAUGGAGGGGGAUAACUACUGGAAACGGUAGCUAAUACCGCAUACCAUCGGAUGUGCCCAGAUGGGAUUAGCUAGUGGGUGGGGUAAAGGCUCACCUAGGCGACGAUCCCUAGCUGGUCUGAGAGGAUGACCACCCAAACUGGAAAUGAGCCUCGUGCCAGACUCCGACGGGAGGCAGCAGUGGGGAAUAUUGCACAAUGGGCGCAAGCCUGAUGCAUCCAUGCCGCGUGUAUGAAGAACGCCUUCGGGUUGUAAAGUACUUUCAGCGGGGAGGCGUUACCCGCAGAAGAAGCACCGGCUAACUCCGUGCCAGCAGCCGCGGUAAUUC